CUCUUUGCCACGUUGAAUCGUUUAUAGUCAGACACAUAUCGAAAAGACCUCUCUCUUAAACAAACAUGUAUGUGAAAUUGCUCCUUUUAUGCGCGUUUAGCGCAGUCUUUGCAGACAUUAGUGAAGAAAAUGGAGUUUUGGUGUUGACAGAGGCAAACUUUGACGGUGCAAUUGCAGACAACAAGUACAUUUUAGUUGAGUUCUAUGCACCAUGGUGUGGACACUGCAAAUCCCUUGCUCCUGAAUAUGAAAAGGCAGCUAAGGCUCUUGCUGAUGAAGGAUCUGAAAUCAAACUCGGAAAAGUUGAUGCCACUGAACAGCAGAAACUUGCCGAGAAAUUUGAAGUCCGUGGCUACCCCACCAUCAAAUUCUUCAAGGAUGGAAAGCCAGUAGAAUAUGGAGGUGGCAGAACCUCUCCCGAAAUUGUCAACUGGCUGAGAAAGAAGACCGGCCCACCAUGUAUUGCUCUCAAGGAUGUCGAUGGUGCCAAGAAAUUUGUUGAAAAAGAUGAUGUUGUUGUCAUUGGAUUCUUCAAGGAUGACAAAUCAGCUGAUGCCAAGGCAUUCGAGGAGGCAGCUUCCGGUAUUGAUGACAUUCCAUUCGGUGUUACCUCAGAGGCCGAUCUUUUCAAAGAAUACGAAGUGGAAUCUGAUGGCAUUGUUCUUUUCAAGAAGGUAAAUUUUAUGAGCUUGAAAGUGAUCAGAAUGAAAUUGGGUUUUUCCAUUUAUGAAUGAAAGUAGUGUUUAAAUGGAGUAUGAGGAGAAGUUUGUUUUCUUCUACAGUUUGAUGAAGGACGCAACAACUUUGAGGGAGCUAUUACUGCUGAAGCUGUGUCCAAAUUUGUGUCCUCCAACCGUCUGCCAAUGGUUGUUGAAUUCACCCAAGAGAGCGCCCAGAAGAUCUUUGGAGGUGAAGUGAAGAACCACAUUCUGCUUUUCGUCAAGAAGACUGACAAAGACUUUGACACCAAACUGAGUGACUUCAAAGAAGCAGCCAAAGACUUUAAGGGAGAGGUCCUUUUCAUUUACCUUGACACCAGUGAUGAGGAUAAUGCCAGAAUCCUGGAAUUCUUCGGACUUAAGGCCGAGGAAUGCCCUGCCGUCCGUCUCAUCACCCUUGGAGAGGACAUGACCAAAUACAAGCCAGACACCAACGAUCUCUCCACAGAGGCUGUCAGAUCCUUUGUUCAGGCCUUCAGAGAUGGAAAACUUAAGCCACAUCUUAUGAGUGAAGAAGUCCCUGAGGAUUGGGAUGCCAAACCAGUCAAAACUUUAGUUGGAAAGAACUUUGUUGAAGUAGCUUUAGAUGAAAAGAAAGAUGCAUUUGUAGAAUUUUAUGCCCCAUGGUGCGGCCAUUGUAAACAGUUGGCUCCCAUCUGGGACGAGUUAGCAGAGAAAUUCAAGGACAGAGAUGACCUUGUCAUUGCCAAGAUGGACUCCACAGCCAAUGAAGUAGAACAGGUCAAAGUUCAGAGCUUCCCUACUCUCAAGUUCUUCCCUAAAGGUAGCCAACAGGUCGUUGAUUACAACGGUGAGAGAACCCUCGAAGCUCUCGCCAAGUUUGUAGAGAGCGGUGGAAAGGAUGGUGCUGGGGAGCCUGAGGAGCCUGAAGAGGAAGAGGAGGAAGAAGAAGAGGAGGAUAAGCCUAAGGAUGAAUUGUAAAGGAGUCCAUCUUAGUGACAGAAGGAUCUCAGAGAAGAGGAGAAUGAAAAAAAGGACUUAAAAUUCCAUAUGAUCACAUUUUCUUAUCAUCAUUUAUGUCAUGAAAAAAUGGAUAUUAGCAUAGAUGCCAAAAAGACAGUGCAUUUAAUUUUUUUUUUAAAGAUCAAAGGCACGUCUUUUAACCAUAAAAGAGACAAAAAGUAUAGUGCUGAAUUAUGUAUAAACCUGCUAAAGUUGUGCCUUUAGGGUCUUGUUUAACUGGGAAUGGGCAUAUUUUUAUUUUGACACUCCUGAUCGUUGAGUUGUUGUUGCAUUGGUAUUGAGGCAGCUUUAUGUGCACGUGUUAAUGCUGGAACUAGUCGAAGAUCAUGGAAUAGUUUAUUACAGAAGUGGCAUUUUAUAUUAUUAUGAUUCAUUCCAAUUUAUGUUUAUCUUCUUUUUUUUUCGUCCUUUGAUUAUGUAUAUGAUGGUUAUUUAUUAUUUUUUUUCUUGAACAGCUUUGAAUUUUAAAAGUUUUACAAAUGGAAAUUAAUAAUGAUUCUUCCAUUAUUAUGAUUUUUUUUUUGAGAUGCAUACAUUUUAGAAGGGAGAUGAUAUUAUUUUUUCUCCUCAAAAUCAAAGAACUCAUUCGGGACUAAAUAUGUGUGCGUGACUGUGUGAAUGUGUAUCUUUAUUGUGGUGAUUGAUGGAAGGUAUUGAAUGAAGAUUAAUGAUUUUUUGUUUGGUGCUGUUUUAACAGGAAAAUGCUAAAAAAUUAGGUACCAGUGUGUCUGUUAUAAAUGCUCAUGUACUAAGGUGUUGUGUACAUGUUUAUAAUUAUUUCAAAACUUUUUGAAAUGUAGGUUAAAAUAAAAAAUUCCAAAAAUU
rnacentral:misc_RNA from 1 species